rnacentral:rRNA from 1 species
CGAACGCUGGCGGCGUGCCUAAUACAUGCAAGUCGAGCGGACAGAUGGGAGCUUGCUCCCUGAUGUUAGCGGCGGACGGGUGAGUAACACGUGGGUAACCUGCCUGUAAGACUGGGAUAACUCCGGGAAACCGGGGCUAAUACCGGAUGGUUGUUUGAACCGCAUGGUUCAAACAUAAAAGGUGGCUUCGGCUACCACUUACAGAUGGACCCGCGGCGCAUUAGCUAGUUGGUGAGGUAACGGCUCACCAAGGCAACGAUGCGUAGCCGACCUGAGAGGGUGAUCGGCCACACUGGGACUGAGACACGGCCCAGACUCCUACGGGAGGCAGCAGUAGGGAAUCUUCCGCAAUGGACGAAAGUCUGACGGAGCAACGCCGCGUGAGUGAUGAAGGUUUUCGGAUCGUAAAGCUCUGUUGUUAGGGAAGAACAAGUACCGUUCGAAUAGGGCGGUA